rnacentral:rRNA from 1 species
UACGGAGGGGGCUAGCGUUGUUCGGAAUUACUGGGCGUAAAGCGCACGUAGGCGGCUUUGUAAGUUAGAGGUGAAAGCCCGGGGCUCAACUCCGGAAUUGCCUUUAAGACUGCAUCGCUAGAAUUGUGGAGAGGUAAGUGGAAUUCCGAGUGUAGAGGUGAAAUUCGUAGAUAUUCGGAAGAACACCAGUGGCGAAGGCGGAUCUCUGGGCCGAUACUGACGCUGAGGAGCGAAAGCGUGGGGAGCGAACAGG